GCUCCAUGUGGUUCUCGGGUUGCGUUUGUUCCCCUUAGUCUCAGGUACCUUCCCUCCAAAAAUCUCUCUCCGGUCACACAGUGUGUUAUGGUUUCGCUGUUGCAUGGUGUGAUGUCACCAUCUGUGUAAUUUGGGAUUUUAUAACAGUUUACCAGUUGACAAAAACAAGAACACAGUGUAGUGACUAAUUCUUAGGCAAUUAAAACACCAGACCAAAUUGUCCGGGAGCCACACAGUUACCUCAUGCCGAAAACAGUUCCAUAAUGAUCGCGGCUCAGCGGCUACUGCUGAGGACAAUUAGUGGGUUUCUUCAUGCAAACGGCCUCCAGGAAGCUAGUGUUCGGUUCCAUUCAAAUGUGUAACAUAUUCAUCCUCACCUUGCGGUAUCUGCGCCCAGCGGCCAAUGCGUCAUUGUACCUGACUCCUGCAACAUGUUGAUGGACGCUGGCCACUGCGGAUCCAUGCCAAAUUAUAGCCCCAUGUCCGCCCACAGUGAUGACGACGUCAGCAUGCAUGUGACGUCACGCGGGAGACGCACGUGCACCUUCUGGGGUCAAAGGCCGAUUUAGGCCAAUUAGAAGUGUAAAAGGCUUAUUUAAACGCAUUUUUACUUUCCGUCAUUGCCCUGUCGAGAGUGUGUUCCUGAGCGUUUAUUUCUGGUUAUUGACUUUGGCUUCAUUUGACUUCUCUGUAUUCUGGUAUCCUUGACUUUUGUCUUUCCCUCAUCGUUGUGUCUCAUUCUGUGUCCCCAACUUUGGCAAGUAUUCUGACUAUUCUCUGGUAUGUUAAGUCCGGCCAUUAUAAGACCCGGUAAGACUGUUAGGUAAGACAUUAUAAGACCCGGUAAGACUGUUAGUCCUAGGUGUGAUACAGUUCUAUAUGCUGGAUCAACUGGUAAUCCUGACAGAAUGAGCGAAAAGUGCCAAACCACGGGCCCCCCCCGGGAAAGCUGCUAAUUUAACUCCCAAACAGGGUCUUUGGAUACGGCCCAUGGUCCUUGGGCAGGAGGCUAGCUAGCAGGCUCCUCCAGGAGCUCAUGGCGUUGGCACGUUUGCCAC